AAGCCGGGCGAACAACAGCAUGGUUUGGGAUAUUAUGAUAAUCCCAAUAGUCUGCCCGAUGGCGUUUCUCGUGAACAAUGGGCAAGCUAUGACAGCUCUUUCUCCGGUGAUUAUAUUGAAACCUGGAUGCAACGACUGGAAUUCAAUCCUAUUGAGGUUAACAACUAUAAAGCCGGUAAAUUCGUUGACUGGAUGGACCUAGUUUAUCAGAAUGGUUUGAGACAGGAUUACAAUGCCUCUGUUUCCGGUAAGACGGCAAGAACCAACUAUUAUGUGUCGUUGGGCUAUACUAAUAAUGAUGGUAUCGUAGUAGGUGAUCAAUUCCGUGCUUCAAGAUCGCGUGUGAAUUUGGAUACUGAGAUUACGAAAUGGUUGAAUAUUGGUUUGAAUGCGCAGUUCGUUCAUAAAGGCUCGGAUGAUAUUAAGGCAGAUACGGGCGCGGCUAAAGCAGCCAGCCCCUUUGGAGACGUUUAUGAGGCUGAUGGAAGUAUCAAGGUUAGACCUUGGGAUGACAACCGUAUUGCCAACCCAUUACUGAACCGUUCAGUGGACGAAAAAUACUACAGAACGCAGACGUUUAAUUCAAGCGUUUAUGGUAAGUUAACUCUUCCUUUUGGAUUUACCUGGCAGACAACUUUCAAUGUGCGUUACGGCUGGAGAAAGGAUUACUAUUUUGAUUCUGAUAUCAAGCCGGGUGUAGUAGCAGGUGGUAAAGCAAAACGUGUGGACUAUUCAGACUAUGAAUGGAGCAUUGAUAACAUGUUGAAAUGGAACCGUACAUUUGCUAAUAUACAUAAUUUCGACUUCACUUUUGUAUAUACUGCUGAAAAAUAUCAGAACUGGCAAAGUACGGGAAACAAUGAAGGUUUCCAGCCGAAUGGCGCACUGAGUUAUCAUGGUAUUCAGGCCGGUAUAACUCCUACUGUCAGUGCAAAUGACGAAAUGCAGACUGGUAAUGGUUUGUUGUGGCGCUUGAAUUACUCUUUGAUGGACCGUUAUUUGCUGACAGGUUCUGUACGUCGUGACGGUUUCUCAGCUUUCGGACAGAAUAAUCCUUUCGGUGUAUUUUCUACAGUUGCUGCCGGAUGGCGUAUAUCAGAAGAGAAGUUCUUGAAGGAUGUUGAAUGGAUUAACAACCUGAAGUUGCGUCUUUCCUGGGGACAAACCGGUAAUCGUGACAUCGGCCGUUAUGCUGCUUUCUCAAGAUUAACUAUUACCAACGUUAUUCAGGAUGGGGUAAACUAUAAAGGUGUAUAUCCUUCAAGUUUGGCUAACAGAGACUUGAAAUGGGAAACUACUACCGGGUUCAACUUCGGUGUUGACUUUGGAUUGUUCAAAAACAGACUGAGCGGUUCUGUAGAACUUUAUAAGAAUAAGACGAAUGACUUGUUGAUGGACCGUGCUAUGCCUGAAAUCUCAGGAUAUGGUAAGAUCGCUUCUAACCUGGGAGAAAUUGCUAACCAGGGGGCUGAGAGGAUCCUAAGACGAACGGGAGAAGCAUUGUUAAGGAACUCGGCAAAUUGACCCCGUAACUUCGGAAUAAGGGGUGCCUAUGUAAAAGUAGGCCGCAGAGAAUAGGCCCAAGCAACUGUUUAACAAAAACACAGGUUUCUGCUAAAUCGAAAGAUGAAGUAUAGGAGCUGACGCCUGCCCAGUGCUGGAAGGUUAAGGGAAAGAGUUAGGGUUAAACCGAAGCUUAGAACUGAAGCCCCAGUGAACGGCGGCCGUAACUAUAACGGUCCUAAGGUAGCGAAAUUCCUUGUCAGGUAAGUUCUGACCCGCACGAAAGGCGUAAUGAUUUGGGCACUGUCUCAACAGCCCGCCCGGCGAAAUUGUAGUACCGGUGAAGAUGCCGGUUACCCGCGACAAGACGGAAAGACCCCAUGGAGCUUUACUGUAGCCUAAUAUUGGGUUUCGAUGUUGCAUGCACAGGAUAGAUGGGACACAGGGAAACAGAAGCUUUGGCUUCUGCGGAGUGGCCGUUGGGAUACCAUCCUUGCGAUAUUGGAAUUCUAACCUGCGGCUCUGAAUCGAGUCGGGGGACAUUGUUAGGUGGGCAGUUUGACUGGGGCGGUCGCCUCCUAAAAAGUAACGGAGGCGUUCAAAGGUUCGCUCAGCUUGAACGGAAAUCAAGCAAAAGAGUGCAAACGCAGAAGCGAGCCUAACUGCGAGACUGACGGGUCGAGCAGUAACGAAAGUUGGAGUUAGUGAUCCGGUGGUAUGUGAGUGGAAAUGCCAUCGCUCAACGGAUAAAAGUUACCCUGGGGAUAACAGGCUGAUCUCCCCCAAGAGUCCACAUCGACGGGGAGGUUUGGCACCUCGAUGUCGGCUCAUCGCAUCCUGGGGCUGUAUUCGGUCCCAAGGGUUUGGCUGUUCGCCAAUUAAAGCGGCACGCGAGCUGGGUUCAGAACGUCGUGAGACAGUUCGGUCCCUAUCUGUUGCGGGCGUAAGAGAUUUGAAGGGAGCUGUCCUUAGUACGAGAGGACCGGGAUGGACGUACCUCUGGUGCACCAGUUGUCCUGCCAAGGGCAUAGCUGGGUAGCUAUGUACGGACGAGAUAAACGCUGAAAGCAUCUAAGCGUGAAACUCUCCCUAAGAUGAGAUCUCUCAUCCUUUAUGGAGUAAGGGCCCAGAAAGACGAUCUGGUUGAUAGGCCGGAGGUGGAAGUGCAGUAAUGUAUGCAGCUGACCGGUACUAAUAGCCCGAGGGCUUGACCU
rnacentral:rRNA from 1 species